rnacentral:rRNA from 1 species
AUGAACGCUGGCGGCGUGCUUAACACAUGCAAGUCGAACGAUUAAAGCUCACUUCGGUGAGUGUAUAGAGUGGCGAACGGGUGAGUAACACGUGGGAAACCUGCCCCUUUCUUCGGGAUAACUUCGGGAAACCGUUGCUAAUACCGGAUACUCCGGGAUGGUCGCAUGGCCGACCCGGGAAAGCUUUAUGUGGAAAGGGAUGGUCCCGCGGUCCAUUAGCUUGUUGGUGGGGUAAUGGCCUACCAAGGCGAUGAUGGGUAGCCG